UUUUUUUUUAAUCGUUUCUUUUUAAGGAUAGAUUCAAAUUGACAGAAAAGUUGCAAAGAUAGUGCAGAGUCUUGUUUUCCCUAUUGUGACAUCUUCCGUUGUCAUGGUACAUUUGUUGCAGCCAGAAACCAAUGCUGGUGCAUUACUGAACAUCCUGACUGAGGUCCACCUUAACCGGACUCCAUGCUUUAUUUGGAUUUUGCUAGUUUUUCCCAAUGUCCUUUUUCUGUUCCAGGACCCCGUCUAGAACAUCUCACUGCACUGCAUCAUCGUGUGUCCUCAGGCUCCUCCUGGACCUGAGGGUUUCUCAGGCUUUCUUUGUUUUUGAUGACUUUGGCAGUUUGAGGAGGACAGUAGUGCGGUAUUUCUUAUAUUGAGAUGUCAUCUGCAUCAUGUGGACUAAACAAAGGGGACAUUUUGAUCCAGAAUAUUUAUCUCACCUGAGGAUGCUACAGAUUUCCUGGCAGUUAUGUUUAAGAUUCAAGAUUCUUUCUACUAGUUCUUCAGGGUAAACGCAGCCUUAAUUUCUGAAAUUGAAUAUUCAUGGAGAAUCUACUAUGUAUAACAUAUUUUGUGAUAAACUAAUGAUCAAGACGUAGCCUUUGCCCUAAGGAGGUAAACCACGGACAUGGAUAACAAUUUCAGAAAGUCAAAAGCUACAAGUGACAUAGAAUAGUUUACAGAAAAGUCAACAAGAGGCCGUACAAAGAUGAGACAAUUUCCAACUGGAAAGAUCUGGAAAGGUAUGUAGGAGGAGGGUGCCAACUGAGCUUGAAAAAUUUGGAGAUGCUGUUGCUGCUGGGUGUCAGCUCCUACCUGGAUUCGAACGUCAGGCAAUGAGACCACCACACUCGCUGGAAUUUUGGUGCACACGUGAGGUACAAGGAGAGGCUUAAUUAGAUUGCACCCUCCUAGGACUCCGUGUCCGCGGGGCACUGGCCAGAUGCUCCCCGGGCAGCUCUUUCCAGGGAGGGACCUGCUCCGUUGGAGACGUGAUGGAUUUACAGGGACCAGCCAACUGCCUUCCGCUAUGUCUGCUUGAGGACGACGAAUUUACACUGACCUUGUGGCCGCAGGCUCGGUGGGCAAAGGAGGACCAGCAGCCCUCCGUGGUGUCCCGAGGCUGUGAGUGUGUCCCACUGGAGCACCUCCUGGUCCCUCCGUAUUUCAAGGCUUUCGAGGCCCCUGGCACACAGGGGUGCUCAGGAAUAUUUGAUUUCUUUUAGAAUGACCUCAGAGCAGAGUGUUGAAAUGAAGACCGAGUGAAAUCUCGCCAACCUGCUCUGUCCCUUCGGGCUCCGGGCGGCCUCCUGCCUGUCCCUGAGGAGCUGGCAGAGUGGCCUCCCGGGCUCCCAGGGACCGGGAGCCGCCGGUGCUCGUGCUGAGGGUGGGCCCGGCUGGCCCUGACUGUGCAUCGCUUCUCUAGUGGUGCCGCUUGUGGCUGAUCACACGUUAGCUGAGUGCCCCAGUGACAGAGCUGCUCUGCACUCUGUCGCCAUCGAUCUCCCGUCACUCAUUAGUAAGUGACCGUGCUAGACAUGGCCCUUGGGCAUUUUUCCAAUGCAAAGCCACUUAGCAUUAAAAUUGCAGCAUCUCUUUUGGCUUUUUCACAAGUCUUUAUCAAACCCAUUUAAAAACUUACCGUGAACGUGACCCACUCUCCAGAUAGCCUCUGACUGUCUUGACCUUUGACCUCUAUAAGACAACAGGAACAACUGUGCCAUUUAACAUCAUUUUUUUUUCUAUAGUAGGUAAGUCUCGUGGAAAUAGACUAAAUGUACAGAAGAUGGGGUGGGGUUUUUUUUUGACAACUUAAGAGCAGAAGUGCUUUUUCGUUAUUAUUCUGUCAUCAACGCUUCUAUAGUCCAGUAUAAACAACCUUAUCUUCUAGCUGUACUUUAAAUUUCAAUGGAAAAGAUGCCUAGGGAGUUAAAUAUAUGCAAUGCUCCGAUUUUAGAAGUAAACAUUUUAGAGAUUCAGAAUGUGUGAGUUGGUGGUUUUCAUCUAGCUCCAGAUUUUUCGCCAUGAGAUGGGAGGAGAUGUGCCAAGAGACCUCUGCCCGCCAUGGUCAACACGUCCGCGGGAGGCCUCGCCAGGCCCACGUCCCAGACACUUUCUGUGCUUUAAAGAACUUUUUUUAUUUGAGUCUCAUAAAUGCAUCAGUUACGGAGACACUGAACGUUUCUUUGGGAGGACAUGCACAUCCCUUAAUGCGAACAGUCUAGCAUAAAUACAAAGGUCAACUCAUUGUGAUUGAUCACUUCAGAAUAAAGUGCCUGUCCCUAAGAGAGGAAGGGAGGGUGACAGGAAGAUACCAGAGCACGAGGGAUCUGGGGCUCAUUUAUUUGUCCCCAGCUGCAGCCGCGGACUUCCGGCUAUUCCCGCCACGUCAUGAGGUACACUCGUUGCUCAUUGGCAGGGAGCCACCCUGAAUCAGGAGAAGUUUCAAUCCUGGGGUGACAUGAGCACAUUCCAUUUUGAAUAAGCCCUACAUGAAGGCAGACUGGGGGCCUGGAUUUCCUGUGCCUGGGCCACCUAGAUGACAAGAUGCGAAGCUGGCUGUGAAUGUGUCAUUCUGUUCUUGUUUACAUCGACUUGAGAAGAGAAAGAAGAAAGCCUUGAAAUCCAGCUGAGUCUUGUGUGGUACUUCAAGGAGGAAAAUUGCAAUUUCUGUAAUCACAGAAUAAAUCCUCAUUUAACGUUUUCUUAAUAAAAUAAUGUAAAAAUUUUCCAGAGCAGAGUGAAG
rnacentral:lncRNA from 1 species